GCCAUUGUGGUGUAAUGGUCAGCACACUCGGCGCGUAUUCGAGAGGUCCGAGGUUCGAGUCCCGGUGAGGGCA
rnacentral:tRNA from 1 species